UCCAGGACCCUGCCCCACGGCAGACCGGCCUCUGCCCUGUGGAUCCCAGGACCCUGCCCAACAGCAGGCUGCCCUCUGCCCUGUGCAUCCCAAGCACUUUCUCUGUGCUGCCUGGUGUUGCAGAAGUCCUGCCUCGCCAUGGACACCGUGGAAAUGAACAGGCUUGCUGAGUGACUGGCAUUUGCAAAGCUUUCACAAAUAACACUAAACACCGUGAUUUCCUCAAGAUGUUCUGGAGCCCUCAGACUGGGCCCUCUCUGUUGUGGGGUGCUCAAUCUUCCCAGGCUCAGGCUGCCCCAGGGGCUGGGCCACGCUGCCCCAGGGGCUGGGCCACGCAGCCCCUAUCGUCACCCUCACUACCCAGGCCUCUAGCCUGCACCCUUCCCCUCCCUACACUCCCCACAGGCAGCUCUCAUCAAGCAACUGCUUCUCCAAGCGCUUGUGACUAAACCCCAAAGAGGCCUGGAAAGAGGAUGUUGGAAACAAGCAGGGGGUGCACUUUGGGGGAGGCGAGGCCUGGGAAGCCGGCACACUUCUAUGUGAGUGGAGGCUGUUGGCUGAUUGGCCACUUGACCUUUGACCUGAGCCCCAAGGAAAGUGCACCCUCCUCUCUUUCAUUUUGUUUAUGGCUUCAUACAAGCUUCCCAUUUACGUGAACAUUCUGACAGAAGAGGGCUCUCAUUUGGCCAGGUCCUGAAAGCAGAGAAUUCUGCUCCUUCUAUGGGACCAGCAGCCUCUCUUGCGGGCGUUUGGCUCUGCCUGCGAGGCAGGUGGGCUGCCAAGGCUUCCCAGCUGGGCUUUUCUGCUUUAGAUAAGCUGAGAUAUUUGUGCAUGAAACCUUCUGCGAUGUGACCCUGCGAAAUGCAUGCUGCGCCACACCCUUUUAUCGUUGUUAAUUGAGAGCAGAGUGUUGCUAAACUUACCAUGUGAUGGAUAUUUCUCCGUUUUGAUAUUGCACAGAAUGAAGAACAUAGCAGACAGAUGAAGUAGGCCUGGUGGUGCUCUGAGCAGAACAAAUCCUAAGGCCAGGUUAGACUAGCUUUGCACUGUUUCCCUCGUGUCUAGAUUUCUGAAGGAUGAGUCUUUUGAUUUGUUUCUAACCUGCUUAAAAGAGAUGGGGAGGCGGAGGAAGCAAGGAGCCGAGGUGCAGCCGGAUGCCUCCCAGGAUGAAUAAUGGCAACAAGAAACAGAGUUCUUAAAGCCCAGAUGAUAAGGGCCUCAGUCUGGGUGUGAAUGAACUUGGCCUGACUUCUUUGCUGCCGUCAUAUGAACCGGAAGGAGACAGCUUAGAUAGAGCAAGCCUGCUCCUUCCAGAAGCACGAGGGUCCUGUGGCGGUUUUUGCUUCAAACACCGCAGAACACAGAGCAAACCCCAUGACGCCGUCCUUCAACUAAACAGCCCAAAGCAGCAAACUAGAGGUUUCCAUUUUUAGUUUGCAAGGGGAACAACUGAGCUUUCAUGAGUUGGAAUUUGCUAACGUAAAUUGAGCCUUUGUAAGAGGGCUGAAAUUGACCCUGGAGACGGAAAGCACAGGAAAUAUUUGCUGUGGUCGGUGGGAGAGGACGCUCCGCAGACAAAGCCGCCUGCUUCUCCCGUCAGGCCUGCCUCCUCUCUAGGCAAAUAUUGGAGGGAUGACUUUUUUAUUUGCAGAGAGGAUUUGGCUAAUUUUGUUUUAUUUGUGUACCUUACAUUCAUGGAGCACUCUGCACAGUCUGUUGGAUAAUCUCUAAUUAUUCCUUUCCUCUUCACACCUGUGAGGCCGAUGCUCAGCAUAUUUCAGAGGAAGCUGGCACCAGGGAUGAGGGAAUCUGCCCAAGCAUGAGUCACCUGGAAUAUUAAACCAGAACCAACACACAAAUGAUCUGUGCAAAGAGGCAGCACCAUUGAAGUGUGUUUGACAGACAGAACUACUGUUUUGAAUCAACCCUCUGAGAUGUCUAAAUCAGCCUGUCAGACUUUGCUCCCUCUAUCACGUUUCCCAAGAAGAGGAUCAGAGAUAAAGAGAAAUAUGGAAAUUUGGAGUAAAAGAAUACUUUCACCACCUUGGACAUUGUCUCCUGCCUUUCUGGACAUCCACACAGCCCUGUGAUAUGCCUUGGAGCUGAGUUUUACCUCUUUGUGUGAUAUUUCUUUCCUGGGAAAGGCUCACACCACCUUGGAGCUUUGCAAUUUCGGCUUGUAGGUCCUCACUUAUAAAUCCAUUCACUCCCAGAGUCUACAUUGAAAUGAUUUCUUUUGCUGUGUCUCCACUGCUGGCUGUAGCCCCUUGAAGGAGGGAGCUGGCUUUACCAUGCCUGGCCUUGCAUAAAGUGCAACCUGAUGCUUAAUACAUACUGACUAGGUAAGCACAACCACUUCCAGAGCUAAUUCCAGCCUUUUCUCCUGCUCCCUGAUAACUCUACCUUCAUACCAGGACAGCAUUCUCAGAAAUCAUUUUAACCACGAAGACUUUUGUUCAAAUGAAACAGAAUAAGUAUAAACUAGAAAAAGUGCAAAUAUAUAGACAACUGUUAUUUUUUCUAAGUAAUCACCCAAACCCUCACCUCAUCUAUUAACCAAAAACUCCAGUGUGUUUCAUAUGAAGCCUCCCUUCCGAAAGAAAAUAAUCACAAACAACAACAACAACAACAACAACAACAACAUAUCUUCUAGGACCCCAGGGGUGACUGCCCAGAGUCUCAGCCUGGCUACCUGCUGGGCCCCUGCAUGGCUGCUGCAGCUGGACUUUGGAGAGCACAGUGGACCUUCCCCACUGCUGCCAGGAGCCUUCCCAGGGAUGAAUUCCUCCUCUGACGAACAAGGAUUUUGAGACAAGAGAGAUCCCCUUGGCCAAGGAUGCCCCAACCAGGGCUCACAAGGCCGCUGUUCUGAGUGUUCCACUUGGUUCCCAACCCCAGCUGGCCCCAACAGGUACCAUGGAGCCUCCCAACCACCAUCCUUCCCUCCCUGGGCUCCACCCCAACCUCAGGCAGCUUUUCCUUUUACACCUACAAAACACAAAGAGCCUAGCUGCCCUCAUCCCCUUCCUUAGACCACGGCACUCCCCUCCCACCCUCCCAAGGGUAGCCCCUCUUUGUCUCUCUUCUGGGUGAGAUUGCCUUCCUGAAUCCGUGGUGACCGAGGAAAGGAAACAUCUCACAAGCUGUUCACAAGGCCACCUCAGUGCCCCAGAAAGCCUGACAAGCACAGAUAAAUUAAAGCCAUCCUUCUGGGGGUAACAGAGGGGACUCCUGUCCUGCCCUGGUCCCAGGGCUUCCCAGAGCAGUCUGUGAAUCACUGCCUAUGUGGCGCUUAUGCUUCCUGAGCCAUUGACUCCUCCAUCCCAAGGGUCUUUGGAGACUCCAUCUCAUCCUCAGGUACCAGUCUUUGGAGUUCUUUCUUGCCACAGGCAAGAGAAUUUGGGGUCAUUUGAUUUGCUCAGAUGGUGCCAUGGUAAAGAGGACAACUCCAGGCAGCUUCAUGUCUCCUCUGCUGACGGGCAGAUUGUGUCCUGGCAGGAGAUCAUCUGCUGUGUUUGCUACCCAGGAGGCUCCCACACUUCACCAUCAGAACAGCGCCCCUGGCUUAGGAUUCUUGGCACCCUAGGGGUCAGCCCUUUUGUGUCUGUUUUUGCUCCUCUACGGUAAUCUUUUCAUGCAGCCUCGAGUUAACAGCACUUGUUUCCUUACCUGUCUCCAUCCCAAGGCGGUGGACCUCUUUGAGGACUGGAGCAUUUUCC
rnacentral:lncRNA from 10 species